GAUGAAGAACGUAGCAAAAUGCGAUAAGUAAUGUGAAUUGCAGAAUUCAGUGAAUCAUCGAAUCUUUGAACGCACAUUGCGCCCGCCAGUAUUCUGGCGGGCAUGCCUGUUCGAGCGUCAUUUCAACCCUCAAGCACAGCUUGGUGUUGGGACUCGCGUUAAUUCGCGUUCCUCAAAUUGAUUGGCGGUCACGUCGAGCUUCCAUAGCGUAGUAGUAAAACCCUCGUUACUGGUAAUCGUCGCGGCCACGCCGUUAAACCCCAACUUCUGAAUGUUGACCUCGGAUCAGGUAGGAAUACCCGCUGAACUUAAGCAUAUCAAUAAACGGAGGA
rnacentral:misc_RNA from 1 species